UCUCCGUAGGUGAACCUGCGGAGGGAUCAUUACUGAGUGAGGGCCCUCGCGGUCCGACCUCCAACCCCAUGUUGUCCGACUCUGUUGCCUCGGGGGCGACCCGGCCUCACGGCUGCGGGCCCCCGGUGGACAUAUCAACUCUGCAUCAUGACGUCUGAGUUUAUACAAAAAUAAAUCAAAACUUUCAACAACGGAUCUCUUGGUUCUGGCAUCGAUGAAGAACGCAGC
rnacentral:misc_RNA from 1 species